rnacentral:lncRNA from 1 species
UUUUUUUUUUUCUGCACAGCAAAUGACGAGAAGUCAGUUUAACAACACAUGUAUGGACAUUGUGGAAUGGGUGUCAGAAGCUGUCACCAACAUUAUCUUGCCAGCCCUAGCCGAUGUAUUGGAUGCCAAUGAGGAGUUCCAUAAAACAGCAAAAACUGUAGUUAUGGAAGUGAUUUCUGGGGCAACCACUGAAGUUUCCCCCUACGUUUCCAAACCACACAAUGGCUUUGGCGAUAAUGCUUCUUGGCUUGACAAGCAAGAUGACAUCCACUCCCAUGUGGAUCGGGCAGCUUCUGACAUCGUUGAAAUUGUUUUGAAAGAGCUUCACAACUUCUCAAAAACAGUCCAAGAACUCGAUGCAUCAGAUAACAAGUCAGUCAGUUGGGGGUCUCCAUCCCAAGCCUCAAGUACCUUGCCACUGCUUGCAUCUAACAGCUCUCCAUCAAAAGGAUUGUCCGCUGCUUUCGGCAUGUUCAAGUCUGUGGCAAGUAAACUAAGGGAAUUUUUUAUUCAGCAUCCGCCUUUGCUGGUCAGAUCUGAAGAAAAGAUUUCCUCAGACAAGGAAGAGACUUCAGCUUUUAUAGUCCCCGAAUAUACCUUCGUAACAUCUGUUGGCUCUCAGACUGAUGAGGCCCUUCUUGAUACCUGUCCCACUGAGGUUGAAAAUGAAAUUUCCACUUCACUCUUGUUGGCUGAUUCACUGGACAGCUGUUCAUUGGUGACAGAAAUCAAAUCUGAGGUGUCCUUGGAUUCUGAAAUAUUGGCAGACGUUUCUCUGACUGAUCUCACCACAUGUAGUGAUGUCUCAUCUCUAGACAGACUGGAUCAACCACGACUGACUCCACAAGAUGACUUUAUUAAUCCGAAAGCUGCAUGGUGCACUCCCAGUCCUCAGAGCCAGUCUCUUAUCAAGCUCUCAGAAGAAAAGUGCCUGAGAAUAGCAAUAGAAUUAGUCACUGAAGCUGUUCUCAGAACAGCCGAGGACAUUGCAGAGCCUCCGGAUAUUGCUGUAUCACACAAUAGUGGUAUCAGUGGAAUAGCAUUUCAAUCUCAGAGUGAAAACCUCUCUGGGGAUAAGAAAAAAUGUAAGAAGAGGAUGAGAUUUAAGAAGAGUUUCAUGAAACCUGAACUCAUCUUUAAGAGGAACAGGAUAAAUCCAUAUAUGGGGGGUGAGGGCUCAAAGACAAGGAAAAGUGCAACAAGUGAACAAGUGAAUGAAGGUGCUCACCCAAGUGAAAGUGAUUCUGCGUUCCAUACAUCGAAAGAGAAAUGCCAGAAACGAUCAAUUUUUAUGAAGACUCUGUCUGCAAUCUCUCAAGCACGAACAAAAUGUACAGAUCUUUUUCAGGGAAAAGACAGCUGAUAUAAUAAAUGAGUUUUGCUUAAUUUGAUAGUGGUUCA